GCAGUGCUGGACUCUUGCUGCGUUGGAAAUUCUUGUGAAAAGUUAAAGAAGAGCAAGUUUCAUCUAAACGCUGACGACAAAGAUUUUUUUUAUUUAUUUUUACCAGAAAGUGAAGAAAUCAUUUUAAUGAGGGUUUGUUAGUUAAACUUCUGAGCUUCAAACACACUUUACCAAAUAAAAUGCUAUACUAAACUGA